UACGUAGGGACCGAGCGUUGUCCGGAAUCAUUGGGCGUAAAGAGCGUGUAGGCGGCUAUUUAAGUCCUGCGUGAAAUCCUGCGGCUCAACCGCAGACGGUCGUGGGAAACUGGAUGGCUAGAGUACUGCAGGGGAGACUGGAAUUCCUGGUGUAGCGGUGGAAUGCGCAGAUAUCAGGAGGAACACCGGUGGCGAAGGCGGUCUGCUGGGCAGUUGCUGACACUGAGGCGCGACAGCGUGGGGAGCAAACAGG
rnacentral:rRNA from 1 species